GGUAGAGUGGCCGAGCGGUCUAAGGCGCUGGUUUUAGGCACCAGUCUCUUCCGAGGCGUGGGUUCGAAUCCCACCUCUGCCA
rfam:Lottia gigantea unplaced genomic scaffold LOTGIsca_89, whole genome shotgun sequence.